GAGUUUGAUCCUGGCUCAGAACGAACGCUGGCGGCGUGGAUAAGACAUGCAAGUCGAACGGGAGAAUUGCUAGCUUGCUAAUAAUUCUCUAGUGGCGCACGGGUGAGUAACACGUGAGUAACCUGCCCCCGAGAGCGGGAUAGCCCUGGGAAACUGGGAUUAAUACCGCAUAGUAUCGAAAGAUUAAAGCAGCAAUGCGCUUGGGGAUGGGCUCGCGGCCUAUUAGUUAGUUGGUGAGGUAACGGCUCACCAAGGCGAUGACGGGUAGCCGGUCUGAGAGGAUGUCCGGCCACACUGGAACUGAGACACGGUCCAGACACCUACGGGUGGCAGCAGUCGAGAAUCAUUCACAAUGGGGGAAACCCUGAUGGUGCGACGCCGCGUGGGGAAUGAAGGUCUUCGGAUUGUAAACCCCUGUCAUGUGGGAGCAAAUUAAAAAGAUAGUACCACAAGAGGAGGAGACGGCUAACUCUGUG
rnacentral:rRNA from 1 species